CCUUCCCAUGGAACGUUAUCAUUGUUUUAUUGGUUCUGCUGGUGCUGGUUGGACUUCUUCAUCUCGCCAAAGGUUAUUGGAACAGAGUGUUGCUGUACUUGUCCACACUGGCACCUCAAUCAGGCACAACUGAGGUUCAAACAGUCUCUGUUGAGGCCGGUCGAGAGGCAGCAGAUGCAAACCAAGCGAUGUACGCUGUGGUUUUGAAAAACAGGACAAAGAAAG